UAGAGCUAAUUAGCUUCAUGCCCCUGGAAUGGCCCAGUUAGCAAACGGGUGAUCGCCUGGAGAUGGUAAAGAAAAGAUGUGCACAGGGCAGACUGUUGAGACCAAAGGAGUUCUAUUUUCUCUUCCGACCCUGAAGUCUGUGAUCCUGUCUCUCUGCUAACAUGGAAUUGAAGAUUCAGAUACUUGAUACCUCUAGUAUCUCGAUACCUCUGCACCUGAGGCCUAAGAAGCAACCCCCUCCAAGCUCCUCACAAGGCUGAGACCCUUCUUCGUGACAGAGUAUAGAAGUAACAGACAUGCCCAACGGUUUCAGACCGUCUCUAGAACGUUUCAGUUUCCAGCGAAUGAAGAUUUUCCUCCUUUCCUUUGAACAGUAAUUACAUUUUACAAAUUCUC